rnacentral:rRNA from 1 species
UGGGGUGACACAGAAGGAUAGGGAAUCGCACGAAUGGAAAUGUGCGUCCAAGCAGUGAGUGUGAGAAGUAGGCAAAUCCGCUUCUCACGAAGCAUGAGCUGUGAUGGGGAAGGAAAUUAAGUACGGACGUUCCUGAUUUCACGCUGUCAAGAAAAGCCUCUAGGAAGAGUAGUACUGCCCGUACCGCAAACCGACACAGGUAGAUGAGGAGAGA